GACGAACGCUGGCGGCGUGCUUAACACAUGCAAGUCGAACGGAAAGGCCCUGCUUUUGUGGGGUGCUCGAGUGGCGAACGGGUGAGUAACACGUGAGUAACCUGCCCUUGACUUUGGGAUAACUUCAGGAAACUGGGGCUAAUACCGGAUAGGAGCUCCUGCUGCAUGGUGGGGGUUGGAACGUUUCGGCGGUUGGGGAUGGACUCGCGGCUUAUCAGCUCGUCGGUGGGGGAGUGGCUUACCAAGGCUUUGACGGGUAGCCGGCCUGAGAGGGUGACCGGCCACAUUGGGACGGAGAUACGGCCCAGACUCCUACGGGAGGCAGCAGUGGGGAAUAUUGCACAAUGGGCGGAAGCCUGAUGCAGCAACGCCGCGUGCGGGAUGACGGCCUUCGGGUUGUAAACCGCUUUCGCCUGUGACGAAGCGUGAGUGACGGUAAUGGGUAAAGAAGCACCGGCUAACUACGUG
rnacentral:rRNA from 1 species